rnacentral:rRNA from 1 species
CCUACGGGUGGCAGCAGUGGGGAAUAUUGCACAAUGGGGGAAACCCUGAUGCAGCAACGCCGCGUGAGCGAUGAAGGCCUUCGGGUCGUAAAGCUCUGUCCUAAGGGAAGAAUACUGACGGUACCUUAGGAGGAAGCCCCGGCUAACUACGUGCCAGCAGCCGCGGUAAUACGUAGGGGGCUAGCGUUAUCGGGAAUUACUGGGCGACAAGGGUGAGUAGGCGGCCCUUCAAGUCAGAGGCGAAAGCCUACGGCUCAACAGUAGUAAGCCUUUGAAACAGUAGGGCUUGAGUGCAGGAGAGGUGAGUGGAAUUCCCAGUGUAGCGGUGAAAUGCGUAGAUAUUGGGAGGAACACCAGUUGCGAAGGCGGCUCUAUGGACUGUAACUGACGCUGAGGCACGAAAGCGUGGGGAGCCAACAGGAUUAGAUACCCUGGUAGUC